rnacentral:sRNA from 1 species
GCCUGGUGCGGUGGCGCAUGCCUGUAAUCCCAGCAGCUUGGGAGGCUGAGGCAGGAGGAUCGAGUUCCAAGCCAGCUUCAGCAACUUAUCAAGACCCUGUCUCAA